rnacentral:rRNA from 1 species
UACGUAGGGUGCAAGCGUUGCCCCGGAUUUAUUGGGCGUAAAAGGGCGCGCAGGCGGCUACGCACGUCCGUUGUGAAAUCGCUCGGCUCAACUGGGCGGGGUCGGCGGAUACGGCGUAGCUGGAGCAAGCUAGGGGGCAAUGGAAUUCCCGGUGUAGUGGUGGAAUGCGUAGAUAUCGGGGAGGAACACCAGUGGCGAAGGCGGUUGCCUGGAGCUUUGCUGACGCUGAGGCGCGAAAGCGUGGGGAGCGAGUCCGG